AGCGUAAUGUAGCCUAGUCCGACUUUGGACUAGAGGGUUCACAGCCCCUUUAAUACAGAUGACGCA
rnacentral:ribozyme from 2 species